rnacentral:lncRNA from 1 species
UUUAUAAACAACAUGUAGUAUUGUUUUAUAAAUAUUUUUACAUUCACAUAAACAGACUACAUUGCAUUUAUUUUGCAACUCUGUUUUCAUUUAGCCUUAUGAUAUGUGGUUUGGUCUUUUUUCUGUAGUCCUGCCUUUUGAAACCUUGGGAUAAUAUAUUUAUCAUUCUCCUACUGAUAGAUGCUUGGGUUGUCUCCAGUGCUUUGCUACAGCCAACGACACCAGAGAGAACAUACUUUGCACUGUAUGGGAAUUUCUCUGGUCCCAGUGUGGGUGUAUCAGUUGUACCCCUGGGGUUUCAACUUACAGAAGUGACUGGGUUACACCACGGAGAGGCUAAUGCCAUUGAUAAAACAUCUUGUUGUUUACAUUUUCACCAAGUUUGAUCAGGAGGCAGAAGGGGUGAGCACAGCCCAGAAGAAUCUGUUGAGAAAGGCCUGGAGGGGCAGGGAGCAGUUUAGGAUUGGCUAGUGGGAAUGACGCGGGCGGGCUUAGGCCACAGGGCUUAGGGCAGAGGGUAGGCGCCCGCCGGAGGAGGUGGCUCAGGGGUGGGCUCUGAUUGGUUAGUUUCCCAGAGGAGAACUUUGAUUGGUUAGUUCAUGGAGGGCUUGUCGUGAGCCCUUUGCCAGCUCCAAGAAUUGGCAAGCCUUGGGAGGGGCAGUCUCUUCCCCAGUCGGGGAGGCCACACGUGCCAGAGCAUGGAGAACGCACAGAAUAAGAAACUCUGGUUCAUAUCCGGGCCCUUCGGUUUGACGGGGCGUUGCCCUGUGGCUGUCUACACUGGCUGCACCAGUUCCCCCGAGUGUCUAGCUGAGGUUGAAUUGCCUCACUGCUCUUGAUAAUACUCGAUGAAAAGCAAUUUGCGAAUCUGAGGGGUGUGAAACACUACCUCCUGGGUGUUUAAUGUGUAUUUCCCACAAAUAACCAUAUUUGUGAGGCCAGGCAUCAUUCCACGUGGUCAUUCUGUUAUUUCACUCUGCCCUUCUUGUCGCUUGCUAACCUCUUCCCAUUUGGGUGGGAAGCCAAUUGGUAUUUGUUAAUAACGUGUAAACUUUGGAACUGAUAUUGGCUCCAUUCAAUGCACUGCAAAUAUCCUCUCCCACUUUGUGGCUUCUCUUUCAACUUUGUGAUGUUGUCUUCCGUGG